rnacentral:rRNA from 1 species
GUCCCGCUCGGGACUUUUAAGGAAGUUUCGAGCGGGACCGGUGCCUGAGCUAACGCGUUAAACAUCCCACCUGGGGAGUACGAUCGCAAGGUUGAAACUCAAAGGAAUUGACGGGGGCCCGCACAAGCAGUGGAGCAUGUGGUUCAAUUCGAUGCAACGCGAAGAACCUUACCUGGGUUUGAAAGGUCCGCCACAGUCCCUGAAAGGGGAUCUCCUCGCAAGAGGGGCGGAUACAGGUGCUGCAUGGCUGUCGU